CUGAUGCAGCCAUGCCGCGUGUGUGAAGAAGGCCUUCGGGUUGUAAAGCACUUUCAGUCGUGAGGAAGGUGGUGUAGUUAAUAGCUGCAUUAUUUGACGUUAGCGACAGAAGAAGCACCGGCUAACUCCGUGCCAGCAGCCGCGGUAAUACGGAGGGUGCGAGCGUUAAUCGGAAUUACUGGGCGUAAAGCGCAUGCAGGUGGUUUGUUAAGUCAGAUGUGAAAGCCCGGGGCUCAACCUCGGAAUAGCAUUUGAAACUGGCAGACUAGAGUACUGUAGAGGGGGGUAGAAUUUCAGGUGUAGCGGUGAAAUGCGUAGAGAUCUGAAGGAAUACCGGUGGCGAAGGCGGCCCCCUGGACAGAUACUGACACUCAGAUGCGAAAGCGUGGGGAGCAAACAGGAUUAGAUACCCUGGUAGUCCACGCCGUAAACGAUGUCUACUUGGAGGUUGUGGCCUUGAGCCGUGGCUUUCGGAGCUAACGCGUUAAGUAGACCGCCUGGGGAGUACGGUCGCAAGAUUAAAACUCAAAUGAAUUGACGGGGGCCCGCACAAGCGGUGGAGCAUGUGGUUUAAUUCGAUGCAACGCGAAGAACCUUACCUACUCUUGACAUCCAGAGAACUUUCCAGAGAUGGAUUGGUGCCUUCGGGAACUCUGAGACAGGUGCUGCAUGGCUGUCGUCAGCUCGUGUUGUGAAAUGUUGGGUUAAGUCCCGCAACGAGCGCAACCCUUAUCCUUGUUUGCCAGCACUUCGGGUGGGAACUCCAGGGAGACUGCCGGUGAUAAACCGGAGGAAGGUGGGGACGACGUCAAGUCAUCAUGGCCCUUACGAGUAGGGCUACACACGUGCUACAAUGGCGCAUACAGAGGGC
rnacentral:rRNA from 1 species